UUCCCUGGUACAUGUAAUGGCACUGGAAGAAUUCACGGGAUUUUUUUAAACAUUCCCGUGUUCUCUUAGUGGCAUACCUAGUACAGGGUG
rnacentral:pre_miRNA from 1 species